AUACUACUCCCUCCGUCUGGAAUUACUUGUCAUCAAAAUGGAUGUGUCUAGAACUAAAAUACAUCUAGAUACAUCCAUUUCAAUGACAAGUAUUUUCGGACGGAGGGAGUACCAU
rnacentral:pre_miRNA from 1 species